GUAGGGGGGCAAGCGUUGUCCGGAUUUACUGGGCGUAAAGAGCGUGUAGGCGGCUAGACAGGUCUGUUGUGAAAACUGGAGGCUUAACCUCCAGACGUCGACAGAAACCGUCUGGCUAGAGUCCGGAAGAGGAGAGUGGAAUUCCUGGUGUAGCGGUGAAAUGCGCAGAUAUCAGGAAGAACACCAAUGGCGAAGGCAGCUCUCUGGGACGGUACUGACGCUGAGACGCGAAAGCGUGGGGAGCGAACAGGAUUAGAUACCCUGGUAGUCCACGCCGUAAACGAUGGGUGCUAGGUGUGGGAGGUAUCGACUCCUUCCGUGCCGCAGCUAACGCAUUAAGCACCCCGCCUGGGGAGUACGGCCGCAAGGCUA
rnacentral:rRNA from 1 species